AAACACACAGUUUUUUGCCCCACUGCUCUUUUCUUUGGACAAGGAGUAUAUGAUACUGAUUACGGGGUGGUCCAAUGGGGUCUUUGAUUAUAACCUUGCUCUUUGGUGAUCCAUUGGGGCUGUGUUCAUGGCUCUGUUCCCUGGUGGUCCAGUGGGCUUUAAUCAUGGCUCUGCUCCCUGGUAUCCCAGCAAGGCCUGUAAUGCAGCUCCCUGGUCUGCACCUCCACUUGAGAUCACUGUAAAAGUUGCUUCCAGUCUUUGACCACGAGAGAUAAUUCAAAUGAUCAGCACCCACCUGAAUUGCAUCCACAAGCUGCUUUGUCACAAUGAGGGAUUAUUUCAGGUCAAGUAAAUCUGUUUAGCCUUGUUG